GACGAACGCUGGCGGCGUGCUUAACACAUGCAAGUCGAACGGAAAGGCCCUGCUUUUGUGGGGUGCUCGAGUGGCGAACGGGUGAGUAACACGUGAGUAACCUGCCCUUGACUUUGGGAUAACUUCAGGAAACUGGGGCUAAUACCGGAUAGGAGCUCCUGCUGCAUGGUGGGGGUUGGAAAGUUUCGGCGGUUGGGGAUGGACUCGCGGCUUAUCAGCUUGUUGGUGGGGUAGUGGCUUACCAAGGCUUUGACGGGUAGCCGGCCUGAGAGGGUGACCGGCCACAAUGGGACUGAGGUACGGGCCCGGCUCCUACGGGAGGCAAGAGGUGGGAAUAUUGCACAAUGGGCGGAAGCCUGAUGCAGCAACGCCGCGUGCGGGAUGACGGCCUUCGGGUUGUAAACCGCUUUCGCCUGUGACGAAGCGUGAGUGACGGUAAUGGGUAAAGAAGCACCGGCUAACUACGUG
rnacentral:rRNA from 1 species